ACGGAGGGUGCAAGCGUUGUCCGGAUUUAUUGGGUUUAAAGGGUGCGCAGGUGGUUUAUUAAGUCAGUGGUGAAAGACGGUCGCUCAACGAUUGCAGUGCCAUUGAAACUGGUAGACUUGAGUAAAGUAGAGGUGGGCGGAAUUGAUAGUGUAGCGGUGAAAUGCAUAGAUAUUAUCAAGAACUCCAAUUGCGUAGGCAGCUCACUUGGCUUUUACUGACACUCAUGCACGAAAGUGUGGGUAUCAAACAGG
rnacentral:rRNA from 1 species